rnacentral:lncRNA from 1 species
CUAUAAACAUGAUAAUUGGCCUACAAUUCCAAGCUGUCAAGAUAACUAGAGAUUAAAUGUUCAUCCUUCCAGGCCCCCAGCCAAUGAACCUAAGAUGGGUAGAAGAUAACUGUUUUUCCUCUCCUACAAUACCCUCUCUAAUGGAGGCCGACCCAGAAUUCAGGGAGAGGGCUGUGGAGUCACAGCCACUGAACUCACCCUGGCUCCAUCCAGAAUGCUCUGGUCUGGGCUGUUUGGACAAGCAAUACAAUCUUUUGUCACAGUCUCAGAAAAAAGGACUGAAACAAGGAAGUACCUCCUGCUCAGCCCAUCAUGACAGAGUGUGAUUUUCUUCUUCGUGCCUGAGUCCCACCAUUCUCUACAGCUGUUGAAUGAGUUAAUGAAAAGUGCCAAGGGAAAGCAGACUGAGGAUGGAAAGUAGAACUGAAGAUCAAGGACUCUGGAGUCCUGCAGACAUGGGUUCAACUUAUGAGCAUGUGACCUUGGUUUCUUGACCUUGGAAGUUCAUUGACUUUUGCAAGCCUUUGUUUUCUCUUCUAAAAGAUCCACAGCAUUUUAUAAAACUUUCACCAUCCAUAAAAAAGCAAUAAUAAUAGUACCUUCCUUGAGGGGUUGUUGUUAAGGAUUGAGUGAGAAUUUUUUAAGUGUGAGCACAGUGUCUGAAACAUAACAAGUUCUCAACAAAAAGUUGGUUAUUACUACACUGCAUUUAAAGUUAAUGCUUUUAUUUACGAAUUAUUUGUAGUUGUUAACAGCAUAAUGAUCCAAAUAUAGUCAUUUCAUUGAUUUUUUUUUGGAUUAGUUUCUAUAGAGUUAGCUUCUUUAAGAAUAAUAUUUGUCUUAAUUUUAUAGUAUUUUAUACUUUUCAUAGAUAGCUUAUUUCAAUGACACAUGGCUUCGAUAGAAAGUCUAUAUAUUUCCUUGAAUCCUUUUAAAUUAUAUUUUUCUGAAAUGCUAACAACAAUGGUGGUUAGUAAGGCUGAAAAGGAGUUCCAUUUUGGUUAGUCCUGUAGUAAGGAAUUGGAUAUGAAAAGUUGGUCACAGGAAUUAGGCUGGAUACUGAAAGCAAAAUUCUCUUUACAAAGUAAAGGCACUAGAUUAAUCUUUGCCAGAUGUCAAAUAAUUAUUACAUAUGCUUUAAUACGGAAAGAUCUCGAGGGUAUGUUUGGUAAAAACUGCAGAGUGCAGAACAAUGUGGAAAAUACGUCUGGUACAUGUUUGAAAAUAAAUAUAAACAGAAAGUUAGAUUGAUAGGAAUCCAGAUAUUUAUAGAUAUAUGUGUAUGUUUAUAUAAGCCUAGAACAUUUCUGGAAGGAUUUACAAGAAACUGUUAGUAAUGAUUGUCCUGGAGAGAAUAACUGAAUAUUGAUGUUAGAAGAGAAACAUUUUAUUACAUAUUUUUUAGUAUUUGUUAAAUAUUUUAUUUGUAUUUAUUUUUCUGUUAAAAUAAAAAGCUAGUAUAAAAAUUACCACUAUCAUCAUCGAUCAUUUAUUGAAUUCUUACUCAUUGUAAGGGUAGACUUUAUACUUAUAGAAACUAAUGUUCACAAGCAUCUUGCAAGAUAAGUAGAAGUUAUGUAGUUCAUACAAUAGCUUGUAGAGAGCAAGUAAAGGACAGUUGUUUCUCCUGCUUUUAAGUAGAGUUUUCAGAAAUUUAUAAUUAACGGUCACCAGUAUAGGUAUUUAGCUCUUUACUAACAUAGAUAAUAAAAAGAAUUUCUUCAAUUACG